UUUCAGGAUUUGCAGGUUGGCAAUGGCCUUCUGGAAGGCAUAGCUCAGGGCCCAUUAAUCGACAAAGCUGCUGUAGAAAAGGGAGCAAAACGUUAUACUUGAGGGAAAGAGACACGGUCUGGGCAUGACAUUUUAUGAGCCUACCGUACUUGGAAAUGUUAAUGAUGAAAUGCUCGUAUCCAGCUAUCUGAUUUCUGUGAUCCUUCAGAAGUUUCAUAAAAUGUUAACAUUUUGGGAGAGGUAUUCGGUCCAGUUGCACCACUCCUGCAUUUUAAAACUGAAGAAGAUGCUAUUCUUAUGGCUAAAGAUGCAGAGCGUCAUGUAUUGGGGGUGAUAGAAAUGGACAAAACACCAAUGACGGCGAUAUGCAUCUAGAAACUCCAUAGUCCUCAUUUCUUAGUAUUUUUUAUGUAUGAGAAUAUUGUUGAGCAUAUGUACUUUAUAUAUACAUAUGAUACGCACUUUAUGUA